rnacentral:rRNA from 1 species
GUCUAUGGCCAUGCCACCCUGAACAAUCUCGGUCCUGUCUGAUCUCGGAAGCUAAGCAGGGUCAGGCCUGGUUAGUACUUGGAUGGGAGACCAUCUAGGAAGACCAGGUGCUGUAAGCG